UGUGCCUACAAUCCGUCAGAGCCCUCCCCUGCGUGGGGUGAUGGCGUGCCUUUUGAAGAAUGAGCCUGCGAGUCAGGGACAUGUCGCGAGGUUAACCCGUGUGGGGUAGCCGCAGCGAAAGCGAGUCUGAAUAGGGCGUAUCCGCACAAGAGUGUGUGGUGUAGUGGUGUGUUCUGGACCCGAAGCGGAGUGAUCUACCCAUGGCCAGGGUGAAGCAGCAGUAAGAUGUUGUGGAGG
rnacentral:rRNA from 1 species